UACAGACGGUCCAAACGUUAUUCGGAAUCACUGGGCUUAAAGAGUUCGUAGGCGGUCAGGAAAGUGGGGUGUGAAAGCCCUCGGCUUAACCGAGGAAUUGCGCUCCAAACUCCCUGACUUGAGGAGGCUAGAGGUAAGCGGAACUGAUGGUGGAGCGGUGAAAUGCGUUGAUAUCAUCAGGAACACCGGUGGCGAAGGCGGCAUCCUGGACCGGCAUUGACGCUGAGGCGCGAAAGCUAGGGGAGCAAACGGG
rnacentral:rRNA from 1 species